GAUGAAGGAAGGUUAAUGACGUAGGCAUCAUGAUGUAGCGUUAGGCUAUUAUUGACCUUCUGAGAACAUGUUAGAAGGAGGAUCAUGUGUUUCAGAACCACAGUUGUGCAUGGAUAAUUUAAACCAUGGCUAAGGGAAUACUGUGGCACUUCAUUCUCAUGCUGCUGCUCUACGUACUGUGCACCUUCUACUGGAACUUAUAUUUUAAAAAGUACUCAGGAAAGGGAAAGAUGACCCCUGGAACAGUCUUUCUCUCUUAGGAGCUUGUGCUGCCAGAUCCUCCCUGCUCAGCUUCCAGUGAGAAUACUGGCCUGAGCCUCAGAGCAUCGACUCUUCUCUCUGGAACACAAAAGCACUAUAUCAAAACUCUUGGGUUAAAGACACAUCUUACCAAGGUGCAAGUUUCCACUAACAAAUCAAGAACUGUAUGUGUGAAUUUUCUGAGGAAGAACAUCUAUUUUCCCUCAUUUCCCACUCUCAAGAGAGCAAGGUGAUGUUUUUCCUAUAAAGACAAUAUCCUCUUUCUUUUAUUCUCUUGAGGGGAUUUGGAAUUUGACUUUUUCCAAAUUCUAACUCUUGUCACUUAAUAAUCACAUGACCUCAAGCCAUAUUUUACCCAUCUGUAAAAAUGGCACACACACAAACACACACACACACACACACACACACAUAUGUAAAAUGAAGGAUAGAUAUUUAUCUUUAUACCAUCAAAUACACAUAUUUAGUAUUCAAUAAACUACUGAAUGAGCAAAAGAAGAAUAAAUAAAUAAAUUCCUAAAUAUCUAUGUUCCAAUCAAGCUAGACCAUUAUCUUCUUUAAAGCUAUAGAACUAAAACCUUGAGUUGCAAAUAUAGUUGGAGUGGUCUUGGAUGAUGUGGAGAAGACACUCUCUUAGACUGGAAACCUCCAGCUAUUCCAUUGUUGAUACAUGUUUCAAAGAAUUUAUCACACAGACCCAAGAGGAUAUGUACAAGGAUGUCCACUGCAGCAUUAUAUACGGUGGCAGAGAGACCAAGCAGCCUGGGUAUCUAGCACUGUGACAAUGUGGUAUAUACACAUCAGGGGUGUAACUGUUAGCAGGGGUGGAUCCAAUAUAUGCAUAGCAAUAUUAAUAUAUCUUAAGGCUAUGGUGCUUAAGGGCAAAAGGCAAAACAUACACAAAUUUAUAUACAGGCGCACAAAACAAUACUCAUCUUGCAAGAAAACUGCCAACAAAAGAGUCACAAUAAAAGCAUUAGAGAGAUUGAUUAUGGGAUGGAAAGAAAUGACUAACAGGAAAGACGAUAAAGGGGAGUGGAGAAAGAAGGAAGAGAGGAAAGAGGAAAGAAGAUACAUUGCUUGCAACAAUGAUUAUUAUGUUUCAUGAAGUGAACUUAAAGGUAUAAGUAAUUGUCCAUUCUGCAAUGAGGUCAGAAAAGAAGAAAUAAAGAAAUAGGAAGUAAGCCUGUGUGAAGUAGUUCUCAAACUUUUUUCUGCCCCCACAGAGUUCCAGUAUACUUCUGUCAGGACGCUAAUUCUCCAGAGACUACAGGGGAGGAGUGGAGGAAGAUGGCAGGUCACCCAUGUCUGAAGAUGCUAAAGAACUGAGUGGUGGACGAUUGGAUAAAACAGAUUCCUUUGAGAGGAUGACAUUUGAGCAGAUAUGAGGAAAACUGGAGACAGCCAAGCAAAUAUCUGGCGAGAGAAAGUUCUAAGAAGAGACAACAGUUAAUGAGAGGGCCCUUAUGUGGGAACAUGUCUGAUAUGCUCAGGAACAGAAAAGAAGACAGUGGAGUUGGACAAGAGUGAACAAGAGGUAGAACAGAGGGAUGAGAGCAGGGAAACCAAAGAGGACACAUCACCUAUGGCCCAGAAGCCACCAAAAAGACUAUGGAUUUCCAGUUCAGACAAGAUGCCAUAGACUGGCCUCUCCCUGCUCCUCUUCACUAGGUACAACUUUGAGCUUUAGAAGUGAUGCAAGAGACAAAAUCAAAGAAAUCCAAAAGGUGAGAAGAGGAAGGCAAACUGGGGUGGGAUCUUGGGACUGGAGGAGCAACAAAACAGGUAUCUUACAACCCUCCCCCCAAAAGAAGAAAGUGGCCCAGGUCUACUAUUUUCUGACUCCCAAUCUAGUGACCAAGAGCAUCCAAGUAGACUCAUCUCCAAUCUGGAUUAAACAGAGGUCUCACAAGCAAAGUCAGGUAUGCAUGGUCUAACUGACAAGAGGGAUGCAUCAGAAGUCUUGCAGAGAUUAAAUGGCCAAGGCAGGCAUUCUCCUUCCCUGCCAGACCUGAGACUCUUUGCUCUCACCCACAGAAACCUGGUAGCCUGGGGCACCAAUAAGAGGGACCAUGUCACAGGUAGCCCCCGCUUUGGAAGGUUUUGUUUUGACUCUAAAGUUCCCUUCACCUGCCUGGAGAUACCACUUGCCUGAGGGUGUCAGGAAGAGGGAUCAUGCCACAAAAAUACCUCUGGUCAAAGGAGUUCUCUCCUUCCCUGUAGGACUUGAGACACCAGCAAGAGAGAUCCCACACAACAAGCACCUGGCCCAGGAAGUUGUCUUCGUCCUACCUGACAAAGAUCUAUUCCCUACCUAGAGGUGCCAGGAAGACCAGCAGAGGUCAAGCCUCCCUUGACCUCUCAAGCAGCGUUUGCAGGGACCAGUAGGAGCCCCAGUGUCACAAGAUAAACAAAGCAGACCAAAAUAGUGCUGUGAUUGCCAUUGAAACCAUAGUCCAUGAAAGUAUAUGGGAACCUGGAUACUAAACCUAAACAGGAUGACUGCCUGCAAAAAUAAAAAAAUGUAAAUAGGACCUGGAGUCUCCUAACAUAAUAGCCAAAAUGUUCAGAACAUGUUCAAAAAUUACCAAGAACCAUGAAAAUCACACUUGAAUGAGAAGACAGUUCACUGACACCAAUACCAAGAUGAAUCAGAUGUCGGGAUUAUCUGACAAUUAUUUUAAAGCAACUAAGAUAAAAUGAUUCAACAAAUAAUUACAAAUUAUCUUAAAACAAAUGAAAAAAAUAGAAAAUUUCAGCAAAGAGAUAGAGGUCAUAAAACAAUCAAAAUGGAAAUUACUUAACUGAAAAAUACCACAGCAAACAGGGAACAAAUAAGACAGUAGUAGAAACAAAAUGACAGUAAUCUGAAUACUUUAUCUGAAUUUAUCUGAAAUAUAAAUAUUCUAAACUCAAAAGGAAUCGAUCUAGCAGGAAGACAUAACCAUCCUAAAUGUGUAUGGACCAAACAACAUUAAGCAAAAGCUGAAGCGAAAAGAGCAACAGGCAAAUCCACAAUUGUAGUUGGGACCUCAACACCUCUUCUCAGCAAGUGAACUACUAGACAGGAACUCAGCAAGAACAUAGAAGGUCAGAACAAUACAACCAGCCCACAGGAUAUACAGAGUGCUCUAUAUAUGAAUACUCCAUCCAAUAGUAGCAGAGCAAAUAAUUUUUUCACAUACCCAUGGAUAUUUAACAAGAUAAACCAUCUCCUGGACAUAACACAAAGCUCAACAAAUCUUAAAAAAAAAAAAAAAAAAGACAUUUAGCUUUUUCUGUGAAUGAAGUGGGACUCCUUGCAGGUUGUUAAACUAGAGGGCCCAGUAAGACAGUUCUGGCUACUGUUUCCUCUUGAGGCCAAAGGCAGAGGCUGUCAUACAAGUUGGGAGGCUGUUGCCAUAUUCUGGGCAAGAGAUGGUGGUGGGUUUGGAUCAGGGUGUUGUUAGCUUUGAAGGCAGUAAGUGUAGUCCAAUUCUGGGCACACUCAAGAAAGUAUAAAAAUACUUUAAUAUUGCUAUCAUUUGAAAUAAUAUUCAUGGCAAAUAAUAACAGAAUACUUAUCUGAAAAGAACAACAUUAUUAUCUCUUAUGUGACACAACUUGCCUUACUUUUUCCUAAAUAUUAAUUAACAAGCUUUGCACCUCAA